UCUGUUUUGUCUGAUGCAAAGCAACUUCCUUGAUCCUGGUAGUCGCUCUAUCAUCUCGUGAUUCUAUCAUCUUGAGAAGCAUUUCUUUCAUCCUUAUGAAUCCUACAAAUCAAGUCACUCCAUUGCUUGUGAGGUGUAGCCAAGAAGAAGACUAAAGUGUUGAAAUCACAGAAGACUAAAGUAUUGAAAUCUUCAUAUGAGUCUCACUUUUUUUAAAUCAAGUCGUCCCAUCGCCUGUGAGGUGUAGCUAAGAUACAACUUCAGUAUUCAGCAAGAUUAAAUAGCCAAGAAGAAGAGAGUGUAGUGUGGCCCUUCCUGGCACCUCCUCUAAGCUAAGCAUAAAGUGUUGUGAUACAAGUCUCAUUUUUUUUAAGAACAAGAAGAAGAAGGCGAAGGUGUAGUGUGUAGCCGUGCUCGUAGGGUCGCCCGCUGGGGAUUUCUUCUACCGAUACAAUAGUUUUCAAUUUCCUUACUGUACGUGUGUCUGGACCUUGGAUUCUUCUGGCUGUUUUUGAUAUGAUUCUCUCUUUCCCUGUGCAGGUAUGAAGGUGUACAAAUCUUGCCCAUGAACCCACUCUUCUUGGUAAUAAUCCUACUCUAUUGUCAUAGUUUUUCUUUUUUCAAGAAAGUAUGCUAGUUGUAGAUAGUUGAUUUAAACAAAGGAAUAGUCAAGAUAAACACCUCUAGCACUGACGGGGCAGUGCAUACUGAUCUUAGCAUCGACCAGUAAGCUUACCAGUGGUGCAAAGCUUAGCAUUACUAACACAGCUAAAUAAAUGUGAUGCGGCUGCUCUCAACGGACCACAUGCACCAUCCGUAACACCAAGUUGCUCAAUUCCUUACUGAACUAAGACUAGAGCUGUUUGUAAGCAAUCUCUAAGGAUCCACCACACGGUUUACAAAACGUUAGCACGCAGAUGCAGAUUAACAGAGCAGAAAAUAGUUCACUGGGUAUUCAAAAUUGCCGAUCAAGACAUUCUCUUGUAUGCUGGUAGCAAUUCUCUAGAAGUUGAUACCUUCAUCCUGCAACCACAAAGAGAAUACAGUUUUACUUUUAGGAAAAAUUCUUGUGAAUACUGAAGUUGUCAACUUCAUUAACCAGAUAGAUGAAAAAUACAGUAGGAUGUGCAGCAGCAGUUGUUGUGCACCACACCAUUUGCAUAAAGUGCAGACUAAGUUUGUUUAUACUCAGCUUGUAGUUAUAGUUAUAGGUUUUGUCUACGCCUAAUCAUUUCAAGUGCAACCGCUGUCACAGAAUGAUUUAAUGAGGCAAUACCCUGAUUCUGCACCUAUUUCCAAGAUUCUUAUGAGGCAAUACCCUGUUCAAGCUAAUUAUACAAAAGCGUGUAUAUAACAUAUUCAUCCUUUUUUCAGAAUCAUGCAAACCUAAUCGUCCCUUUGCUUUUUUAAAGUCUGCUCAUGAUUUUGGGAUGCUCACAGGGUUCCAGCCAAAGCUGGGGCGUCCCAAGGUCCAUAGCUAGGCUAGGCUGUCCACAAAAUGAAUGGAGGGUGUGAAUGGCUCGGGCAGAUAAAAUAUAAUGUCCAGCAGCACAGGAUGAACUGUUAUGCAACACACCACUACACAAGGUAAAGUAAUACUCCCUCCGUCCGAAAAUACUUGUCGGAGAAAUGCAUAAAAAUGAAUGUAUCUAGAACUAAAAUACAUCUAGAUACAUUCAUUCCUCCGACGAGUAUUUCCGGACGGAGGGAGUACUACAGGAAAGGAUUACACUUUACUUGCUGUCGGGUGGUAUAUGAUACAUCAUACCUGUAGUGGUGGGGCACAUAUGAUUCUGUGCAUUGAUUAGUAUUCUGGUUUGCUAUCUCGAGACUACUUUUAGUGCCUAAUGCCUAUGGUUCUUAGUUAUUACUCCCUCCGCUCCAUAAUAUAGUGCCUAUAGAUUUUUUGAGAAGUCAAACUUUGACCAAGUUUGUAGAGAAAAAUAUUUAUAUCUAUAAUAGCAAAAAUAUAUAAUGUGAAACUACAUCUUAUGAUGAAUCUAGUGAUAUAUGUUUCGCACUCUAGACGUAAAUAUUUUUCUCCACAAACUUGGUCAAAGUUUUGUGAAGUUUGACUUUUCAAAAAAUCUAUAGGCACUACAUUAUGGAACGGAGGGAGUAGUACUCGCAAUUUAUAUUUGACGAGGUGUAUACCAUGUUAAGCUAGCGGCUAUAAAAGUUUUGCUAAUUUUAUCACAUAACCUUCAGGUUACAUAUGCAGUUUCCAUAAAUAAAACCUGAUGUGUAAAUCAUUUGUUGUGCAAGUAUCUAAAUUCGUAGUGAUGGAGAUUUUCGAAGCAAAUCAAAGGCUGGCUGGCUACCUUUCCCUUUAGUGUCCCCUUAGCACAUUGAGCACUCUACUGAUGACUGGCCCAACGCUUCACCUGAAAAAAUAAAUGAAAAAUGGCGUCAAGUAAUGAUGCAGGUCAGCUUUUUGCAGCAAUGCUUCAAGGAGAAUUGGUAAAGAAUAAUCUUUCCACCCUUCUGGGAUUUUAUCAUGAUUCAGUCUGCACAUAGAGUAUCCUAUUCCUAUCUGCCACAUUCAAUCAUCUAGAGUAGGAUACAAUGUUCAUACUUUGUAUACAACAAUUAUCUGUCACUAUAAAUGUAGAUGAAGAUUUAAUAUACUUGGCUUCAGUUGUCCAAUUGUGUCAUUGUAUAAAAUACUCCCUCCGUUCCUAAAUAUAAGUCUUUUUGGAGAUUUCAAUAUGAACCACAUACGGAUGUAUAUAGAUGUAGUUUAGAGUGUAGAUUCACUCAUUUUGCUCCGUAUGUAGUCCAUAUUGGAAUAUCUAAAAAGACUUGUACUCCCUCCGUUCCAAAAUAUAGCGCGCCCACGCUUUUUGAGGUUCAACUUUGACCAUAAAUUUAACCCACGAGACCGACUGCGGCGGGAUCAAAAAUUAUAUAAUUAAAAACUUUUUUUGAAUACGAAUUCAUUGGUAUAAUUUUUUCGCCCGCCGCAGUCGGUCUUGUUGAUUGAAUUAAUGGUCAAAGUUGAAGCACGGAAACCGAGGACGCGCUAUAUUUUGGAACGGAGGGAGUAUUUAGGAACGGAGGGAGUAGAACUGUAUGUAGUAUAUUCAGUUUUUCAAUUGUUAUUUAAUUAAUCUAGUGAUUUGUGCAAGGGCAUGAGGUGUUAGAACUCGUUUGCAGGUUGAGGGAAGUAUCAUCAGCUACUCACGAGAGCUCCGAUUCUUAGGCCCUUGACCCUGAUCCCCAUGUUAGCAAUCUCAUUGCGUCUGGUUGAACUUUGCUUUAAAUCAAGUCUGCACAGGAGAGGGAAAUUCUGUAAAAAUGGUUGUUUGUAUGUUUGUAAAUCUUGCAAUUUUCAUUUUAUUUUGCACUCGUCUACGUACUUGUGCUCUCGGACAUGUGAUUCCAUUUGGGGCAUGGGCACGGUUUCAUUGCAGGCAGGGCAAUUGGACUUUAGGUGUUCCCAUAACAGUCUCGCUUGCUCUCUCUUCUCGAUAUACGCAGCCUCCGCCCUGCAGAGACAGACUUUGUACUGUUACCAAGACGCAGUGGAGAGAGGCAAAGAGCAGUGUAUUCUUUAACAAAGGCACAGUGCAUCCAACACAAUUUAGUAGCUAGAAAAAACUAAUCAUUAAUUAGU
rnacentral:lncRNA from 1 species